rnacentral:lncRNA from 1 species
GAGGCAGAGAUCAACGAGCAAUACUCAUGGAAAUCAUGGAUGCAUGAUAAUGUCGAAUUUUGAUAAUAUGCCACAAUUCCUCUGUUUAGCAUCGCAUUACUCUAGCCACCUGCAAAAGUAAAUCACCUAGCCACGUUAGCGUCACUACCUGCCUAGCGCCUAGUUUUUUUUUUUUUUUGAAACAUUGUACACACCCAAACUAUCACAGUUGGCCGGCAACAACACACUGUUUGGGAAUAAAACUGUGGCAGCAUUCUGCAGUAGUGACCCAGCACGGCUUUGUCUCUCAUGCAGACUAACUCUGCUGCCCUAUACAUAUAACUCUGCUUCACAAUGUAUGUCCAGUCCACAUACUUAGGAGGCAUAGAAUUUUGUUAAGAUUAAAUGGAAUUAUGUCAAAUAUGUACUCGUUGGGUAGAUCGAUUCAUCUAUCUAAUAAGACUAGAAAUGAUAGAAUUUUAUAAAUAUUUGAUUACCUGACAUACAAAUCUACAAGACAUCUUAUAUUAUGACCAGAGACUUAGCAUUUCCAUUUUACACUGAUCCUUUAUGUCAUAACAAUAUCAUAUUAUUACAAUGUAGUGAUGUACAGAAGGCCCAAGUGGGAGCUAAUGCUACAAACUAGUGUGGUGCUAUAAUCAACAAGCUGCCGGAUAUGCAUGGGCACCUGCCUAACCAUGAAGGUGAAACUUUCCUUCUGUACAUGAAAUACCAAGACUUCAUCAUGAAGACUUGUUUAUUUUAGGACAAAUAGGCAUGAUGAUAGGAUUAUUCUAUGUUAAAUUUAAUGAAUAGGAAUAGGACAUAAUACGAUGAGCUCACAGCACACCAUUGGAUUGCAGUGAGAGAACAACCUUGUCAUCUCAAAACACGAGACAUCAAAACACAAGACAAAUUAUAUUCUUGAGCAUAAUGAACCUCAACUGGACACUGUGAAAUGCCUGUCACUACAUUUAAAAUGAACAAAUUGCAUUGUGGUGUUGCAGAAUCAUUGUAUAUACGUAUCGUGGCAUUUGAUAUGGAAGAUGCUUCUGUAAAAAAAUGUUUUCUCCAAGUAUUUCACAUCCAAGGUAUGAUAUUUGCAUCCUCCUUUCUCACAUUGUGUCAUGGAUACUUUGCUUAUCUUUAAAAAAAAUGUAAAAAAUAUUUCUCACAGGUAACAAAUAUAGAACAGGAGCAUAAUGUGUAUAUGAUUUUUUUUAAAAAAAAGCAAUCAUGCUCAUGGGUAAUGAACUUGUUUACGCUCAUUAUAUUCGUGUUAAAACUAAAAAUGAACAAUGAGUUUUAUUUUUCAAAAGAUAAGUCUCACACAUACAAAUGCUGAGAAAACAGUUAUCUUUAUUGACAUUUGGCAGCUACAGAAUUUCUGUCUUGAGUAGGCCAAGAUUACUCUAUUCAAGACUGCCUGGUAACAAAAUUCAGCAUACAAUUGAAAAAAAAAUUCUGCGGUGAACUGGAACAUAAACACAACAGCAUAAAAUCAGAUCAAUCCCGUUUAACUACAUUUCAACCAAAUUUAAAUUUAUACUUGUAAUCACCAUUUCCUUUCUAUGGAGAAUGCAUGAAAUGAAUUUACUAUUUAACACAUAAUUCCCUGGAGGAAUAUUAUGCAGUUGGAACAUAUGCAGUAAUUAUCAACAUGUAUCAUGGGAUCUUUGAAAGUAAUGUGUCAUUGCUUGUUUUGUAAAGUUGUUUCAGGCAUCAUUUUGUUCACUAUUUUAGCCCAAGUCCACAUUUGCUGGGUUAUUUCAUUGAUUCCUGUCACUUGCAUAUUGCUGUUGUUUAACUGGUAUAAGAAGAUCGUUCAUUCUCUUCUGCAAUUAUUUGGGUGCAAGGAACACCAGCAAUGUCUCAUUUGCAGAAGUCAGGAUCGAAUCCAUCUCAGUCGUUUCUUCUGCCCAUAGCAUUGGGAAGAAUUUUUUUUUUUGAAAAGGCAUUGCGAAGUUAAAAUUGCAUGUUCGUUUUAGGCAAGUCGAACACAUUGUGCAAUCAAAACAUAACAAAUAGAUCGUGCCUCCUCAUUGUAACACGGAGUUGGACGGAUUAAAUCAACAAGAAGCAAAAAAACAAAAAAAAAACCUUCAAACCGCGAGCAAGCCGCGAAGGAUUGGAAGGUGAGGGGGGAGCGCGAAUCGUUCUCCUCGCCGUGGCGGCGGACGAACUCAUCCAUCAUUACGGCGAGGAUUUUUAUCACAAUACCUUGCAGAGAUUGGCCCCGGUGGCCCACGAAACGCGCCUGGGCCGCCUGGACCCCAUCAUUACUUGGCACUCCCCCAAACCGAUCUAUAGGCGCGGGAACCCUAGGCGGCGGGGCGAUGCGGCGGCGAUCGAAGGGGCGCAAUCCGGAAGGCUCUCUGCUGGUCCGGACCCGGGAUCGGGGUCAUCUAGGGUUUCCGCUCCCCCCGCCUCCUCCCCGUCCUCACCGGACCGCGAGGGGGUACGGUGACCUCGCGGGAGGAUGGCGAUAGCGGCGGCGGCGGCGGGAGGGUGUGGAUUUGGAAGGGGGCGAUGAGACGGGAGGUGGUGGUGGUGGGGAGGAGCAGGAGGAUGUGCUGGCGUCGGCGCCCCCCCUUUUGUUUUGUUGGCUUCUCUCUCUCUCGCCCCCUCUCGUCGUCGCGUCGAUUUGAUUUGAUUUGGUUUGAUUUCACCCCCUUUCUCUCCGCGAUUUCCCACCGUUUUCUAGGAUAAUGGGUGGUGGUGUGGGGGCGGCCUGGUUUGCAUUAAUAAAUUUCGGCGGUUUCUGCGGCUUUUCUUCCAGACUCCAGAGAAACCAGGCGCCCCUGUUGUUGUAGGCAGGCAGGUCAUGUGACUGACGGACGGCCUCUCCUUUUUCGAUCAUGGUUCCUGUAAUUUUUUAAGCCGGUAGAUUAGCGUCUCCUUCGAGGAGACGUAUCAGAUGCCAACUCUUCUUUAGAGUACUUCUCUCGACAGACUCUGGUGAUGUUUAGCUUGGAUUUUUUUUGGAUUUUUGUAUAAUGACUUCUAGGUUUAAAAAUACUUUGGUGCUUUGCUGUUGACGGAGGAUAAACCGUGUAAUUGUCUCUGCAUCUAACCUCUUUAUCUGUCCAAUUUGACUCAUGUAGAUGUGCUACGCAAGAUGGCAGGCCUAGGUGCAGUGCAGGCACUCAAACCGUCAAACGCAUCAGCAGCCAUCAUCACAAUGACCAGGCAACCACCGUGCAGUUCAACUAACCCAGCACAUCUGAUUGCUCAAGGAUUACCUCGUGAGUGCCAGUGACAAUGGCAUGACAUGACGUGACAUGCUGGUAUCAUGCAACGCAACACAGUGUACUUUCUAGAAUGACGCGAUAUAUUUUCUUAGAUAGAUCCAAACUUUAUUUUAUGUAGUUCAGGAAACAAAAUGCCGCCCUUGCAUACAGGCUCACCAAACUGAUCAUAUUGUUUCCAGCUGAUUCUCAGCAAAAGCAAACCAUGCACACUCAGCUACAACUCAUGUAACAAUAUCUUUUCCGUUCAGAUGACACUAAUAAAAGGUUGUUAGAACUGACGAAGCAAUUGUAUUGUACUUCCGUCCAAAAUAUAGUUAAUAUUUUUAACUUUGACCACCAAUACCUAAAAAAUUCUAAUUAAAAAGUUAUAAUAGUUGGUUUUCAAUAUAAAUCUACUUUUGUUCUCUAAACGUAUAUUCUGGGACGGAGGAGUAUGCUAGAAAUGGUCGUGUGUUCCAGAAUUUUAAGACCAACCGUGGCCAUCACCGUACCACAUAAAUUGCAUAAUCCAGCUUCUAGAGUAUUACACCAUACAGUUGAACUACUUAUUACAAAGCAUAUCAGGGGGGUGUAUCCUCACAUCAAUAUCAAAUCAUAAACACAAAUACAAAGCUGCUGCCUCAGGCAACCUACUCUCAGCAUCAGUGCGACAGAACACAAACACGCAGCCAGUAGAACCCAGCAACUCCCUCUGCUCCAUCAUCUCUUCUUAAAACCAUACUUCUUGCGCUCAUAGAAGAGAUCAGUCUUUGCGCUUCCAAGAUUGACAAUCUUCGGACAACCAUCCCGGUCCUUCUCCUGCUGGGUACACUCCUUGCAGUAGUAGGCGUCUGAGAUGCCGACUCCUCCACAGAUCACACACCUUCCCUGGAAUGAGCCAUAGUUGCACUCGUCGCACACCCGGACAAGCGUGCAUGGACGCACGUAUGAGUCGCAAAUGACACACUUGCCAUCGCAUUUCUCACAGAGGCGACCGAUCGCAAUGCCGGGCUGCUUCCGGCACAUGAUGAGAUCAGGAUGAUGCUUCGCCAUUGCUGUCGGAUGCUAACCUGCAAAAAUCAUCGUAGAAUAGUAUACAGGUAAGAAUCAUGCGAUGCUAUAGUUUGUUAGCAGCUGGGAGAACAAGCACAGGAGCAAAAUUUCGGUGAAAUGUCAACAAUUUCUUAAUUCAAUCAAUUAUACAUAUAGCUGUCCAUAGCACUAGGAGAUUUUGGUGAGCAUCUCCUAGAGGAGCAAACUUUAGUGUGGUGACCCAAGAUUAGCAAACAGCAGCUCAACUAUUCAUCACUAAGACACUAACACUAAAGCUCUUUUCAGAAUUGCAUCAGGUGUCCACAAGGUUUGUCAAUUUUAAUAAGAAUAUCUCACAAAAGAAAGAUGAAGACUGCUGAAUACAUGUAACUUAUAGGGCAGAUUGACAUAAACACAGCAAGUCCAAGUCCCACCGAAACUACAGUGCAAUCUCACCAUGUCUGAUGUUUUUGUGAUAUCAUAAAAACAACAUAUGACAUGGCAUAUAGUUGUGUGUGAAACCCUGGCAUAGCACUAUCUCAUUGCACAACCACCAAAGAAUAAAUUUAGUUAUGGUUUAAAAAACUGGAGCCCCGAAUGCCAAUGCAACUCUGCAAGCUACACCAUCCGUGUCGGCUACACUAACCAGCUGCAAUACAAGUUUGAAUACUACAAUGCAUUUCUACACUAAUUUCAAAGUUUGAGGCUGCCUGCAGGCUUAGCAUUUCCAAUUGGGCUGAUAACCUAGUUACGCAAUCUAUUGUUACUGAAGUCACAUGUAAACACCCAAACAACAUACAGCACUAGUGAAUCUAUCCACUAUUGCUUAUGCUUCCCACUGUAGUCAUGCAGCAUCAAAACAUGGAUACUAGUAAUUAUUCACAUCAUCAUCAGGCAUCCCAACCAGCAUCAAAACACUUCUCAUGCUUCCCCCCUCCCCCAUCGUUCCCCACCUGCCACGGGCCAGAGCCCACACAACUUGGAGCGAAUUGCAGAGGCGAACAGCCGAGAGAGGAACAAGAUGAACUACGGCGCGCGGAGUAGCGGAAGCCCUAAAUCCCUCGUCCGCCGGAGGCAAGGUCAGCUGCCCUGUCACAGGCUAAUCGACGGAACGCCUACUCAAGCCGCUUCAAUUCUAACACGGAAAAAGUUCUACUCCAGAGCUCACGUACCUCCUGGGGGUAGGGGAUGUGUCCUGUGCGGUGGCGCUCCGCGUUCCUCGAAGGCAGCGGGCCGAGAGCUCGAGACGACGGCGACGAGGAAGGCGGCGGACGGAGGCUAGGGCUUGCGGCAGCGGCGAGAUAUAUUUGGGCCUUCCCGGCGGCGGCCGAUGCUGCUAGAAGCUUAUAGAUGCCACCAAGGGAUCUUCGUUCAAACCCGUCCUCUUUCCAAUCGGACGGCUGUCGACUGGGGAAGCGGGACCUCUCGUUUUGGGACACUGAGACUCUGGCCCCACAUGUCGGUCUCACAGAUCUCAGCGUCCGGCGCCCUUUUACCCCUUCGUUCCGGCCGAGCUCGCCGUCGCCGCCGUUGUAGGGCGACUUCGACUUCCGCCGCGUAGCUCCGCUAUAGGGCCUGAGGCAAUCGUUCCCUGCGGCGGCGGGUGAGAUGGAUUCGGGCUCCGGGAAGCCCGAAGAGGUGGCCGCCUACCAGAGCAGCGAGGCCAAGCAGGCGAGGUUGCAGUCCAUGCUCGCCGCGCUCCUCGACGACCCUAUACUCGCGGACGUCCCUAGGAAGCCCUCUCUCGCCGACGUCGACACGCUGAUUAACCUCGAGCUCGGCAGCGCCAUGAGGGUGACCGUUGUCAAGUUGGACAACACCUCCUUCGGUACACCUGAUCCCCUUCAGACCUUACAUUCUGCUCACCUUUUUUUUAAUCUCAAAUUACCAUUCCAGUAGAUCAUUUAGUCCGAGUAUCCUGCCUUUUUAAUUGAACUCGAUUACAUAUCUGCUUCUUUUGUCCCUGUGAAAGAUAUCGCAUUGUCGAAUGCUGCCACGGUCAAGGAUCUGAAGUUGGCUAUCAGGAAGAAGAUCAAUGAGAUAGAACAAGAGCAGAUGGGGCAUCGUCAUAUCUCAUGGUAUGGAAACAAUCUUUCCUGUGGACCAUUGCAUGCUUCUAAGUGGUUUAUGAUGCGCAUUGCUCUUUGUAAUGCUUGUUACCUUGGCAUCAAGGCUGGGUUGUCCUAGUGGAUCUUUACUAUGUGAUAUCUCAUACAAUGGACCUGAGCAAUUAGGUACUACCUCCAAGUAAUUCUGGCUGGAGAUAGGACUAUGUUCCAUAGUGUAUACACUACAUUAAGAGACAAAAACUGAAGUUUAUUUUGAUUUUUAGUUUCAUUUUGCACUGAGGUUCACCUGGUUAGUUUUUUCUUCUUAAUUUAACAGGGGAGGCAUGGUCUUCUUUUUUAUAUUACCCUUUAUUAUAGUAAUGGUGCGUGUACAGUAAGGAAACGGAGAAUACCUGUUUGGGCUUGAAUAGUUGAAUGCAUUUACAUAUGGCAAACAAGCCCUCUGCACCAUAGGUUUUUCUUUUUCAGUUGGAACCUAGGGAAAAAAUAUCUUUCCAGGAUUGUUUCGUUCUUUUGAACUAAGUCUGCUGUGUACACACAGAAGUUGCUGGCCUAAAUUUUGGCUUUCAAUUAUUCUGAAGGACGUAUGCAGUAUUUUCUACACCGUCUACUAGACAAAUACAUGGUAUCCUUGGUUCCUAGACUCUUGAAGCUUUCCGUCAAGCAUUUUCAGGGGCCUUCCAAAGUGGCAAAGUAUGAUCCCAUUUCCAUGGUUUCCACGAAGCCUUUUUUCUGAUAACAUUUGUACCGAACAAUAUGGACAGCAGUAGUCACUUGAAAGAGUUCCUCAAAUUAGGAUUAGUGCUCCUAAAUUAACGGAAAGUGCGGUCCCUGUUAUUGGAGUAGUAUGAGGAUUGCAUUGCUGUUAUGGAUAACUAUAAUUUCUGGAUGGGACAACGAUUUUAUUUAUAUUCUACAAAUUCAGGGGGAAAUAAGGAUCCCAUAGUAAGUUUGUGCUGCCGUGCCUAUGUUCAAGCCCGAAUAUAUGUUCUGUUAGAAGGAAUAAGCAUAUAACUGAUCGUUGAUUCAUCCUAAUGAUGGUAAUUAGGUUCAGUGUUUGUGACAACGAUAGCAACAGCUAUUAAUGUAGCUUGACAAUAUAGAUUUGGAAAUUCGGAAGUUCAAUUAUGCUUUUUUUAGAUACGUUUCUUCAUUAUGCUAAUUAGGAGGGGUCCUAUAUAAACUUUUGGUUAGUGGCCUUUUGUGGAACCUUUUGUCUGUCAGUGUUUCUUAUUGUUUAGAUAAUGACAAUUCUGAACUCUACUUUUGCGUGUUUUGCUGAUUCUUGUGCUGUCAUACUAUUUCUGUUUGAUGCAGGAAGCAUGUAUGGGAUAACUACUGCUUGACACAUCAUAAUGAGAAGAUGAUAGAUGACAGUUCUACACUUUCUUCUCACGAUGUCCGUAAUAACUCUAAGGUAGCUCUUUUGUUAAAGAAAUACAAAGGUUUCUGGUUAUAUUACAGAAAAUAUCCAUGUUCAUUUCUGGAAGACUAAAUAAGUAGCUAAUGAAGAGUGUCCCACUUGCUUCUGUCAGGUGGUUAUAAUAACCAAGCAUCAACUGAGUACUAUUGCUAUUUGAUUUGACCUUAUCUCCCAGUUUUGUGUACCCCUUUUUUAGUUGUCAUCUGUUUCUGUAGUGUUUUAUCCUUAGCUCUAUGUAUUUGUCUGGGCCAUUAAUUGUGGCCAUUGUAGUCUCCCGUUUGCAAUACUUUUCUGUAAACUUUUGGAACUCAUAUAAGGUAGACUGUAGCCGCCCUAUCAAAAGAAAAUUGACCAUAUCUGCUCCAUGUAGGUCUGUUUCUCGCCACAUAUCAUGUCCAGAGUGCAUCGGAAGCACUCUAGAAGAAGAAAACACCGCUUCUUCCAUGGACUUAACAAGAAAUUGUGAUCGCAUCUCGUGAGUUUAAAGCUGGAGAGCAACAUCCUUUUCUCAUAGGAAGUAGUGUGGUCACUUCAAACUGUUAGUGUUCGGAAAGUUCUGUCAUUAAACUGGAAGCAUAUCUGAUGGAAGCCCUUUUUGGGACACGUGUAUUCAUGUUUAAGAGCUGAUCUGGUCGUGUAGCUUCUUGUGAUGUGUUAAACUGAUUUUUCAGUACUGUUAUAUAUUUGUUCUAGAGAAGUCUGAGAAAUCAUAAUCGACUCAUGUUUUACUUUACUGCAUAAAUUACUGCCUUUAUGCUGAUCUAGCAAAUGUGGAACGUUCUGAACUGAAAGUGUUCGAAAAGUUCUAGCUAUGUCAGUAAACUGGAAGCAUAUAUAUGUUCGAAAAGCCAUGGAACCUAUGAAUGUUUGCAACGCAGGUCAUGCAUGUAUUCUUUACUAGUUUAAGAUCUGCAUUGGUCGUGUAAGUUGUUUGGAAGUGUUCUAGUAAUUUUCAGUUUAACUGUCUGGGCUAGGAGAACAACUGUUCCAUGUUUGUCCUGGAGAAGUCUGUGAAAUCCACAAUCGGCUCAUAUCUUACUUAACAUUGGGUUCAAACACAUGCUUUGAGAGACAAAAACAAAGAAACCAAACCAAACAUAUGAGCUUAUAUGUACCCAAAUAAGAGCAUUUAAAAGAUACCAGGAGCAAAUGUCUUCACGGGAACUAGGGGACACUUUUUUGGUGCAACACUAGACAACAAGUUCAACAAAAAAGUGGUCCCGGGGCCUCACCCCUGAAAGGCUGAAACUGAAAAACUAGCAGUGGUAGAGAGACAUCACUCCAGCUGGGACUACAAGACACAAAACACGGCUGAGACAAUAUCAACUCUCAAGCCUCAACAGAACAGGUGAGCAGCAAGCACGGAAAGCAGACAGACAUGGCCUCAGUCCUUUUUCUGGAAGCCACAAAAGGGAGGGACAAGUUUGACACAAGUGUCCCCAGACACACAUUGCAGCCACCACCAGUCCACUACAAACUCACUGCACCACACUGUUGUACUGGAGCACACUGCAUGCAGUUGCAGCUGCAUUCCUUUUUCUUCAGACAUGAGACAUGCUUCUAUAUAUAUAAAUAUAUAAAUCCUUGAUGCUUCUAACAGCUAGCUACUAGCUUAUGACAAGGACAGGGUACUAGUAUGACUUCUACUUUCACCAGAAUUCAGAGACAUAAAAACUCUUGCAGACACAGGCAGAGGCAGGAGCAUUGUGCUCUUCCAGUGAGCUGCAGUGGCAGCUGAUGGAAGCUCUCACAUGGUCCCUGCAGGGUAAGGGGAGCACCAGGAGCUCAGGCUCAGCUCCAGGGAUGCAGUAGCCGCUGAUGAUGCGUCAUGGCUGCUGGGCGGCUGGCUGUUGGUGGUGUAAAAGCUGUACUGGUCUUGCAGCUGCAGCAGCUGGUGGUGUUGCUGCUGGAUCGUAACGGAAGUGGUGGUGGUGGUGGCGGUGGCAGCCGUGGCAGCGGCACCCCAGAACGGCAGGGUGGGGUAGCCGCUACCGCCGCCGCCGCCGCGGAUGGCGUCGCCUGCCGGUGCUCCGCGCCGCGGCCGCGGGGGCUGGACGUUGUCGCCAGUCGGGAAGAGAGGGAGCGUCUCGGGCGCCCGCGUCAUCGCCGGUGCCGCCGCCCACGAGUCCGGCGACGAGAAACAUGCCCACGGCGAGGCCGCGGCGCCGCCGGCGCUGCUGUCGUGGUGGCCGGCGGUGCUCCUCAUCACGCCCAUGUAGUCCUGCGCGCGCACCGUACGGACCCAAGAAUUAACAAUGUGGCGACACGGAUUGGGAGGGACAUGUCGAUCGAACCGAAGUGUGGACGAAGCGUGUACAUGCGCAAUUACGUACGUACCUGCAGGAAGCAUGUCUCGGUGGCCACGGCGGUGGUGCUGCCCCAAUCGGAGCUCGUGUCCAGCUGCAACGCCGACGCGCCGCCAUUGCCGGGGUACAAGCCCAACGGGGAGGAGGGAGGCGCCGCGCCUGAUGAUGAUUUGAUGCCCACAUGACAUGCACAAGACGCGACCAUCACAGUUUGCAAAUCACACGUUUUGAUCGAGCACGCGAAAUGCAAAGCAACGCGUACGUACCUGAAGGCGACGAGAGCGAGAGCACGCCGAGGUGGCCGACGUCGGCCGCGGCGGCAGCGGGGACGUUGACGUCGAGGUUGGUGAGGCGGCGCUUCUGGCGCUCGCGGGCCUUGUGGUUCUGGAACCAGUAGAAGACGUUCUUGCCCUCGAUCUUGCCGUGCUGGCGCAGCAUGGCGGUGAUGCGCUGGAUCUGCUCCGAGUUGGGCGACCGGAUGCCGCACCCGUAGUAGAGCUCCUUGAGGAUCCUGAUCUGCUCCGGCGUCGGCGUCCACCGCGACCCGCUGGCGCGGCACGCCGCCGCGCCGCCGCCGGUAGUGCCUCCCGCCCCAGCACCGCCGCCGACAACACUCUUUCCGCCCACAUUGGCCGCCAUGCCUUCGACCUCCUCCCACAACCCCUGCCUGCCGAGCUGCACUACUGGUCUUGUGCUUGGCUGUGUGGCUGUGAUCUCUAUGGCAAGUAUGGAGAAAGGGUUUGCCUUGGCCUUGAAGGAGGAGAGGCAUGAGGAGAGGGUUUAUAAGCAGGAGGAGGCAGGAGCAUAGAGCUAGGGGCUAGUAGGGGGCUAGGAGCUGCAUGCAGUGCUAGGUGCAUGGAGAUGAUAUAGGCUUAGGCUGGGGCUGAGAGGAUCAUGGGGAUACGAUAUCUUUUGGAGAGGGACAAGUGAAGUUGACACACGAGAGGAGGGGGUCUCUUGCUUUGAGCAGAGGCAGAGCUUGGCCGGCCGCUUCAAUUCACUUGGAACUUGGAAUAGAGGAGGGAGGAGCAUGUGGGGAGGACGCAGAGGGCGUACAAGGCCAGGAUCCCCUUGCGGCAACUGCUUCCUCCUCAGCCUAGCGUGGGGACGCAGGCCUCUCUUCCAGCUGCUGGUGCAAAGGCUACCCAUGCAACCAUGCCGUAGCUCUGCUCCUGCAUACUACUAGUACUAGUGCAUCAUUGCUCUUGCAGUUCAGUUGCUCUCUCUCUCUCUCUCUCUCUCUCUCUCUCUCUCUCUCUCUCUCUCUCUCUCUCUCUCUCUCUCUCUCUCUCUCUCUCUCUCUCUCUCCUGCGUGAUAGAAAAGGAACAAGCCGAGACGUGUUCAUGCAUGGAUGAUCGAGCUGGGUCUGGGGCAAACCAUAUGUGAUCGAUGUGUGACUUGAUGUGGCCGGCUCUUGUUGAAUUGUCUGCUUCCUCUGAGCAGUAGCAAUAUCCAGUUCUUUGUGAUCAGAUUGAUUGACCGGAAAUUUUUCCCCUGCUGCCAUGAAAAAUCUCAAGCAACACGCAAUUUAGAUCUGUUUUUGCAAAGAUCCUGGAAUUCUUGUGGUUCAGCACUGAAAAUCUGAAAUAGACUACUCAAUAAUUUGGAGUGCAGAUCAAUUAACAACUGCACGGCCCUUAUUCUUCACAAUUUCUUCAUCUCUAGAAGUAGUCCCUUGGAACACGAGGAUAUUCUGUCAUGAUUGCUCCAUGGACAGAUGAAGUCGUAUAGGUACGCGCUGUAGCCUGCAUCCAGCAUAAUAUUCCGGGCGCAUUGAACUAAACGCACACUUUUUUCAGUACCAAUGCGUGCGUACGGAGGUGAAGUCUGGCAAACGAUCCCAGCAGAUCGAUCAAGAGUUUCUGUGCAACUAUGUGGAAAUCUAUGCGUGCGUAUGCUUGUAGUUUAAUCACUUCCUGCUAUCUGUUCUUCGGUCACCUAAUCAUUAUCCGAUCAUUUUUUAUGAACUGGUGAAUGGUGAUCAUCUCAUGGCCAUUAUAUUUCCCAGCCAUGAGUUUGGUUAAGACUGCGGGUGUACACCCAAAUCGUAUCCUCUUCGAGAAUUUUUAGUGCUCCAUGCUUGUGCUUCGACUUUUUAGCGUAAUUUCCGACUGGAUCCUCCACGCCUCUACCACCCCAGUCGGUGCCCUUUCCUCCUCUUGAUCCCAUUUCUAUGCAUUCAACGAGUAUGAUCCUGUUUGGAUCCAUCCCAGCUAAACUUUAGCUAGCAUGAUAAUUCCGUUGUCAUUACAAAUGUCUUGAACCAUCCCUUCUUUCAUUUGUUAGAAUAAACCACGCCAUGGUGUUCGUGGCCGUGGCAUGUGUCGCGCGCGCGCAUAAGGAGUCUGUAGCAUAGCAUGUCCAUUGGUGUACGAGUUCGUGCUCGUGUUCACGUCCAGUGUCGACUAGGACGGCGUGUGUGUGCACUCACGCCGAUAGGACAAGUCAGGGUCAGGACGCCGGUGCGGCCGCGUUCCAAGUUGUAUCGAUCACGUUGUGUGGUGCAUGCUGGUUAGGAGCAGGGGUGGCCAAGUUGUUGAUGCUUACGGAAACAGCGGGAGAAGUGCCACUUGCCUCACGGAUAAAGAUGGUGACCGAUUCUUGCGCAGGGAGGCAGUUGCUCACGAACCGGAAGAAGCCGGGUCACCAGGAUCGUGCGUGCGUGGGCGUCGAGUCCACCGGAGUGGAGUGGCGUGGACGCUGCGUCGCCGAGAGGCUACAAAAGGCCAUGUAAUCUCUGUGUGUAAGCCGGUUCGAGUCCUCUUGAGUUGAGCAACAGCCAAGAUACAGGCCGUUCGACGGCCGCGGCGUUCGUCGCCAUUACCUGCUAUUUGUGCUCACUGUUCAUCUUCUACCUCCGUUCAGUGCGUGAGUAAUAGAUCCUCGGGCUAGUUCCAACAAGUGGUAUUCAGAGCUAAGGUGAUCGAAGAUGUCGUCCCUUGGGCCGAAGAAGCCACGCAUCGAUCUUGGCGACGACGACGGCUCUAGCAGCUCACCGCAUCCGGUCGCGGUGGCGAGCGCCACCACUGUCGAUUGCCGCUGCUGACCAAGACCGAUUACCAUGAGUGGUCCUUGGUUAUGCAUGUAUCCCUGGAGGCGAUGGAGCUUUAGGACACCGUGGAGGCAGUCUGCAAGGAGCGCGCUAAGGAUCGGCGGGCGUUGGCCGCCAUCUUGCGCGUGGUGCCGUCGGAGAUGAAGGUUGGGCUCGCCGUGAAGAAGUCGGCGAAAGGAGCAUGGGACGCGGUGAAGAAGAUGAGGGUCAGCGAUGAUCGCGUGAAGGCCGCGAGCGUGUAACAUCUCUUGAAGGAGUUUGAGAACGUCACGUUCAACGACAGGGAGUCCGUCGACGACUUUGCGAUGCCCAUCAACGGGCUUGUCGCCAGCCUGCGCGAACUUGGCGAAGCGAUGGAGGACAACCAUGUGGUGAAGAAGAUCCUGCGCGUGGUUCCGAAGAAGAUGAAGCAGAUCGCGGUGGCGAUCGACUUCAACACGACGUCCGUGGAGGAGGUCGUCGGCCGGCUGCGCGUGGAGGAGGAUGCCGACGUCAAAGAAGCUGCGAACGACAUCAGGCGGCUGCUUCUCACUGAGGAGCAGUGGGAGGCGCGUCGGCAUCAGCGCAGCGGCAAAAAGCGGGCGUGCGACAGUGAUCCACGCCAUGGCAGUGGCAAGAAGGGUGCUGGCCGUAGCGGCGGCCUUGACCAGGAAGACGACGACGAUGAUGGGGGAGCAACAUCAGUUCGGGCGCAAGCAGGCGCCAACGCAGCUCUGGCAAGGGCAAGUGCUUCAAUUGUGGUGUCCGCGGCCACUUCUCGAGGGAGUACCCCAAGCCAAGGAAGGAGGAAGCAUUGUUUGCCAACGCCAAUGAUGAGCCGGCGCUCCUGUAGGGCACGACGCGCGGCGGUGUCGUGGUUUAGGAGUUUGCUAGAAUAAACCACGCCAUGGUGUUUGUGGUCGUGGCAUGUCGCGCGCGAAGGAGUCUGUAGCAUAGCAUGUCCAUUGGCGCAUGAGUUCGUGCUCGUGUUCGUGUCCAACGUCAAGUAGGACGGCAUGUGCGCGCGCUCAUGCCGAUAGGAUGAGUCAGGGUCGGGACAUUGGUGCGGCCGCGUUCCACGUCGUAUCGAGCACGUUGUGUGGUGCGUGCUGGUUAGGAGCAGUGAUGGGCAAGUUGUUGAGGCUCACGGAAACAGAGGGAGAAGUGCCACUUGCCUCACGGAUGAAGAUGGUGGCCGAUUCUUGCGCAGGGAGUCAGUUGCUCACGAACCGGAAGAAGCCGGGUCACCAAGAUCGUGCAUGCAUGGGUGCCGAGUCCGCCGGAGUGGAGUGGCGUGGGCGCUGCGUCGCCGAGAGGCUACAAAAGGCCAUGUAAUCUCUGAGUGUAAGCUGGUUCGAGUCCUCUUGAGUUGAGCAACAACCAAGAUACAGGCCGUUCGACGACCGCGGCGUUCGUCGUCAUUACCUGCUAUUGUGCUCAUUGUUCAUCUUCUACCUCUAUCCAGUGCGUGAGUAAGAGAUCCUAGGCUAGUUCCAACAUCAUUCGGAAUUAAUCAUCAUCUAUAUGUUUCAAAUAAAUAUUUUAUCCAUCACCUUAAUUUGUUUGGGACAAGAUUUUCCAUUGUCCAAAUUAAUAACUUGGACAAGUUUUGAGAGAAAACGUGGAGUCUCCAUUCCCGCACAGAAUAUACCUUUUCCGGCCUAGCCAAGUAGCCAGCAUAUGAGCCGCCCCUGCACAGUGAUCCACAGUGCCGCGCAGAACCCUAGCAAACAGCUAGCUUGCUAGGUUACCUAGCAUUUUAACUGACUUGAUCCUUGAGCAGAUCACGAAAUCACCACAUCGCUGCGGCAUGGAGGACGCCUGUAGAAUGGGAAACGUCUCGUCAGUCAAGUAAGAGAAAGCACGCCGGUGGACUCGAAUCAACAUAAGAUAUCCAUUCUCAUGAUCUUUCCAUAUGUAAAAGUACCUUUUCAAAAAAAGCAAUUCAUAAAAGGUAUUUCAGUUUGUAACAAAGCAUAUGUGUGCACACAACUCUGUCAGAUAGGCCUUUUCUUUUGAAUGGCAGCCACGGAAGAUAGGAGUAACUUGUUUGUAUGAGAGACAAAUGCAUUGCAGGUGACUGUACUUGGCAGAGGAGACAGAACACAUGCAGGCAGGCGGUCCCCUUGUGAUAUUAUAUUCUCAGUGAUGCAAGUUUGAUCUCCUAUCUAGCUCUUCAUCUGAUCCUCACCCUCUCCAACAAGGAGCUGAAAAGAGGAGCAUGAUUGCUCUGUAGAAACUUGUCUCCCUCUUUUCCCCUUCCUUCCCUGAACCUAUCUGUCCCUAAAGAACUUAGGUCCUUCCUAUUUGAGGCCUGUUCCUUAGGUCUGCCCAGCAGCAGCACCUCCUUACUCUGAGAGAAAGAGAGGAGAGAGAGACAGACAGAGAGAGUGCAAAAUGCACUGCAUAUUUGUGAUCCCUGCAGCAAGGUAGUAGCAUGUGUAAACUUCAGUUAGGCCAUCAAGUGCUUCUUGUUUUGUACUGAUGAUAGGGAGAGGAGGGUGGAGAACAUCCCUGUGGCCACACCACACAUAGAAUGCUGGAAUGCUAGCUGCAACAGCAACGGCAACACUCGGAGAGAGGGACUGGAGUGGGAGAGCAGUUGCUAUCAGUACAAGCAGUCUAGCUUCAGGCAGUUAACUGAAGUUGAACUGAAGAGUCGUACCACCACCACAGCUCCUCCAGACCAUGAGUGAGAGACAAAAGCAAAGGCAAACAAGAUCAAAAGAUGAUGACUGAGAGAGCAGGUAGCGCAAGCAACAGGAAAAAGAGCAGGAGAGCCAUAAUUAAGAGAAGUUUCUAUUCUGGGAUGCUGGGGUUUAGAGCUGCAGGUUGUCUGUCAGGGAAACUAAUGAUGCCUUCCAGCAACCCCAAGCACCCAGCUUGAAAGAAAGAACUCUUCCUAGGUACUAGCUCCGAUUUGAAUGGACCGAUUUUAUGCCUACUGUGACAAGGCAUUUUAUAAUAUAUUCUUGUGCCCCUACUGUAGUAGUGAAUGUGAACUCUACCUAGCGGCUACCGGCUACCAAGACAUAACUUAAGAAUCUAUGAAACUGGAAGGUUUCCGACCAUGAACCAUCAACUGUAAUUUGAGCCAAAAUUAAAUUACACUGGAAAGCAAUCUAAAGCACAAAAAAAAUCCUUCGACAUAAAAUACAGAAAACACAUUAGAUUCCCAUGAAAUUCAGAAGGACGUGCAGCAAAGCACGGAGGAGAAACAUGACAGAGCAACUAAUAAGAAACGCAAGCAAGACAUCUGAAACUACAAGAGACAAAACUGACAAAAGACAGUAUUGCUACUCUACAGAGCGUAACGUACUAACGUGCAACUGUUUUGUGGAUGCCAUUUUCCACACAUCACAAAAGACUUGCCUUUCACAAGUUGAGCAGCAAAGGGCCGCAAAAUCUCCAGCAGCAGCCCUUUCUUUCCGGCCGAACCCUUGUACACGAAGUAUAAGGGCGUUGGCGGAUUUCGGACAUCAACGUGGCCACCAUUGCAUCAGCAGGGCAUCUCUCGGAGUUUUACCUCCUCUGGACCAAAACAAGAUCGGUCCAGCUCAUUUCAGGAACACCCGACGCCAUCAACUGGAACCUGACCAAGCAUGGAGAGUACUCCACAGCUUCGCCAUACCUGGCGCAGUUUCAAACUUCAACAUCCUCGAACAUGGAGCGCCUUAUAUGGAGGAUCUGAGCACCACCCAAGUGCAAAUUCUUCUUAUGGCUCGCUUAUCAAAAUAGACUCUGGACGGCGGACCGUUUAACCACGCUAGGAUGGCCUAAUCAAAGAGUAUGUAUGUUGUGUCACUCACAUGACGAAACCCUUUUGCACUUACUAACGAAAUGCCACUAUACUACUCGAGUCUGGGACAAAGUUUACGAGUGGACGGCUACACAUGUCCUGCCAAGAGGAGAUUUGACUACUUUUUCAUCGGUUAGCCAGUGGUGAUCACCAACCGGCUCAACGAGCGGCACCCCGCUAAAGGGCCUUAGAUCACUUAUCAUUCUAGUGUCUUGAGAAAUUUGGAAGGAACGCAAUGCUUGAGUGUUUCAACGUCAGUUCAAAAACGUCAGUCAACUAAUCGUGAAAAUCAAGGAGGAGGCACGACGUUGGAUUCUAGUGGGAGCCAAGCACUUGAGCGCUAUCUGCCACAUCGCCGAAUGAUCACGUUUCACAACGUCUUUUUAUAAUUUCUGUAUAUAUUUAUUUGGCUUAGACCUAUGUAACUAUCUUAUCUAUUAAUUAAUACGAGCCCGGCAAUUUCCGCGGGCCUACGAUUUAAAAAAAAGGGCGUUGGCGGAUGAACAGCAUCGGCAGACAGGAAGAGAAAAGCACCUAUCAAAUCGAGUUAUGGUAACCCUAGCUCUAGCGGUGGUAGCAGCUAGUAGGAUUUCGUGUUUUGUUCGGAGCGCCAAUCAUGGCGAGGGAAGAAGACGGGGCCGGGGCGUCCGCGUUGCGUACGUACCUUCCCGAGGCGGCUACACUGAAAACUGUAAGAAGCCAAUCCCUGAAUACUUAAGCCACCUCCGUCUCUAUCAUUUCUUGUCCUGCCGGCGACUACUUUUUUAGAGAUCUUUACCGGUGCCUUGUACCACUAAUGAGUGGUAUAAGGUAUAAAGAACAUCCAAGCCGUAAUCUGUGUUUAUAUUCACGAUUAUACCACAGAGGGAGAAGGAGCUACGUGCCCAAAUAAUUGAUGAAGCUGAAUUAUUCAGGAUAGCUUUCUAGGAGAAGAUGAUACAGAACUGAGACAAAUAAGGUCCACAACAGAGAAAGGGGGAAGGUACGUGAGAAAAUCUGAGUUAUUAGUGCAUUUAUCUAUAUCUGUAAUCUAAUUUAUUUAUUGCCAUGCUGCAGAUUUUUGUAUCCAGUCAGGAGAAAUUCCAUGCUAGCGUGGACAAGCAGUACUGCAAAUCGAUUUCAGAGCUCGUUUCACGAUUUUUUUUAGUCUGACAAAUUAAGUUCACUACAUGAUGUAUUUUGCUUAAUGAUUAGAUAUUAGCUAGUGUGUCAAGUACUGUUCUGCGCAUAUGAAGUGAGAAUCAUUCGCGAAGGGAAUAAUUGCUAAUGACAACAUGUGCAUAAAUCAUAUAUGCAGUACUUCAGUGAAACCUUAUUUAUGAACACGUACUGUACUCAUCUACAGAAAGCCAUAUCUUGUUGCAUAUGUACAAUAAUUACACCAUGACUACCAAGGAGUCACCCUUCCAGGACUGGACAAAGAGGCUCCCCAGUCGCUGAAGCCGACCUGUCUCGGAGGUUUCCGGCAGCAACUCAUCCGUCGAGGUACCUGAGAAGAAAUAGACGUUUAGUUCAAAACUGGUUUUCAGGACUUAGUACAAAGCUAUUUAAUAUUGAUUAUUUAUCUAGCAACUAAAGAUUCUGAAAAUACCUCUGCAUAUGAUACUUAAAUUAUAACGUUUGGCAGUAGUAGUGAAUGCAUCUUGACACAAUGUACCUAAGAAACUAGUAUAACAACAUUGUCAAAUUUGCCUCAGAGAACAGUAGUCUGGGAAAACAUAUAUUGAUUCAAUGGUCAAAUUCUACAGAAAGAGCAUAAUAGUGCAUUUGAUCCACACCUGGUGAGGUGACUGGUCUGCGACGUAUUUCAAAACAUCAAAGAAAACAGAAGCAGCCUUCUGUAAAUAAAGGACAACCGUAUCGGUGGUGGCUCGAGCUCUCAACUCAAGCAGAUUGCGAUUGAUUUCAUUCUCAUGCUGAGAAAUAUAUGGCCUAAAGAAAGUCCCAUAAAUGUAUGUAGUUCCCUGCAAUGAAAGAGCAUAUAUCAAUCCUAUGUACUAAACAUCUGUAAGGUAGAAGGUGCAUGGGACAAACUAAGUACCUUUGUCUUUGGGUACCACAAAUAUACAAAGAACAUCAGCUUUGCUUCUGAGUAAAAUGGUAGCCUUCAACAUGAGUGCAAAUAAUGUUAGGGACUCAUCAAAAAAACUGAAGGAAAUCACAACCUUAAGCAGUUUCACCAUGAUAUUGUAAAAUCUCCGAAUCUCUCCGAAACAGUCAGCAGGCAACUAAAAUCCUAGACAGAGGAAACAAAACUGAAUUUGGCAGAUUUCUUAUGGAAGCCAAUGUUGUGAACACAGAAAUUAUUAAACCACCUUACCAAUACUGACACCAAGACACCAAAAUAUGAGCUGCUCAAUCUCCGGUUUGUUCAGUUCUACAGUCUUGUAGCACUCAUAGGCAGGAUAGGCGCAGCCAAAGGCCAACCGACACGAAGGCAAUAUCAAACACCAGAAGAUAAAUGAAAUGUUAGUGUUAAAUUUCUUACCUCCGCUCGCGGCCUGCCGCGCGGGCCUCGCCGCCGUCCUCGCUGCUCCUGUGAGGCUCGCACGAGGCCGUUUACCCACCCUUCCCGCCGCUCCCGUGGGCCCACACAUCACCAAAUGAUGAGAGGUGACUAGGAGUGUGAAAGGAAGAGAGGUGACUGGGAGAGGAAACGAGUGAGAUUUCGAUUUCUAAUUUCUAAUGAAAUGCGUGUGAUUCCAAUAUUCAAAUGAAAUGAUUGAGAUUCCAAUUUAUGAAUAAGAUGAGGUGCUAUUUAUUAUUUUCCUAUAAUACCCUUAUACCACCUAUACUACUCAUAUAUACCAUCACCCAUACUACUUAUAUAUACCACUCAUACCACUAGUAAAAAUUGUAAAGAUUUUAGUAGUAUACUAAUCCUUUUCCAACACAGAAUAGCCUAAUGUAAGGCACGGGAAAAGAUCUCUUUUUUAAGCUGCUGCCGGUAGCUGCAGGGAUUUGUCCUCGUCACUUCAUCAGCUUGCAGCCAGCGUAAUCUGAAAAACCAAAAAGGAGUCACCAGAAGCUGCACACAUCUGCUCCGCAUUACCUGCACAUGUACCUCGAUCAGCUAGCAUAUAUGAUCGACCUGUUGCUUCAUCAAGCUAGCAUAGAUGAGAUCAGGAGAAACAAGCUCUUUCUCUUUCAGAUGGGAUCGAAUCGAUGCAGCUGAAAAGGAGGGCAUGCAUUUCCUGCAGGAAUAGCCGUGGAUAGGCAGCAAAGAAUCAAGGAGCAAUACUGCAUGCAGCACUACUGUUGCGUUGAGUCUGGGCCGGGGAAAUCUUUCAUGCUCGGAUUGCGCUGCAGAUCAGAAUUUGGGAGCAGCACGUGAUGGAUGAUUGAUCGAUGGAUGCAGGGAGCCGGGACAUGAAUUCUUGAUCCCGCGGCUGCGCCAAAGUUUGCGAGAUGAACAGCUCCCCCGGCCACCUGCAGGCUUCAGACUUUCAUUUGCAGGCUUGACGGCCGGCAGGCUACAUGCAUGGUCUCGAUCUCUCGUACUGUCCUGUCACCUCGUAUGCGUGUCGUGUGUAUCUGCGCCUGCGUUCCUUCUACUAAUCAUGGCCGCUGCCGAUCAGCGAGCAGGAUUCGUCGUCGGACUCCAGGCGAUCCGAAUCCUUUGUCGUGCACGCGUACCAAGUAAAGCAGACACGCAUAUGAAUCAGUAGAGAUUAAACAAAGCCACAAAGGUCGUCAGAGCAGAAAAACGGCCGGCCUAGAUAAUGUGAAUGGAAGGAGAAAGGUUCCGGUGAUCCAUUGCUUGGGUUGAACAAGAUAUCUUACUUGGGACUUGGGUUGAACCAUGAAUGGCUGAACUAAGCUCCAUGCGUCUACCGGAAAAUACCAUCCGAAGUUUUGUGGAGGUUGCCAAAUUGCACAUCUACCUUGUAAAGUUUCAAAUGGGAACUUAGAUUGAGUAUUUUUAAUUUUGAACUUCACGGGGAUAGAUACACAUUGUGGCAACCUCAUAAAAUUGUAGACCCAACAGUUCCUCGCAGAAAACAUAAAAAAAAAAGAAAACUCUAGAUCAGAAUUUACACCCACGGAGCCAAGAUUUAAAUCUCCCGCUAUAACUGCCGCUAUAGCUCGCUAUGGUACCACUGUUUACCCUCAUGUACAAAUUAGCCACUAUAUCCCGUUAUAGUCUCAUAUAGCGGAAUUAGCCACUAUAUCCCGUUAUAACCUCAUUUAGCUCCGCUAUAUCCGGCUAUUAGCUGUUUUAGAAUCGUACCGCUAAACUUCUUAGCCCUCUAUUUAAAACAUUGCACGGAGCACUAGGCUGUCUGACCCGUCGAGGGCCUAUAACAUGGUAAUACCAGUAACAUUAGAUAUCUUCUCCUGAUUGAAGAUGUUCAUAAGGUACUUGUGGUGGACUAGCCAUGGACACUGAAAUAGCUCGCUGCUGCAGCAGCCAGCCUGAACCAGCCUAUUGGCUAUUGUAGCCGCUGCAACUCUGCGUAGCGCCGAUCAGGCUGCAGCUGCUGCUUGGGCGUGCUGCGUGCACUGCAGCCGAGCGGCUGGUGCACUGGGCUGUACAGCACUACAGCUGUAGCAAAAGCAGAAAGCGAACACAUUCAUAAUCAUAAGCCAGUCUCGGUAAACAAGCCCAAGCCCAAUAAUUGAGUUGCAGCUGUUUGCUGCACUUGUAUCCUCUAAUCCCUUUGCUUUGCUAUCUACCCCUGAUUCCAGUUAUCCCAUACCGUAAACUGAUUCGGUAACUAUUGUAUCGAUCAGUUGCUAUUCGAAUUGAAGGUGGUGCUAACAAGAAGCCAAUUACCCUUCAAAAAAAAAAACAACAGGAAGCCAAUUGGAGUCAUGAAUGGGGCUGCACAUCUGAUAAGGCGCUUAUCUGAACUCUGUAGGAAAACUGAGCUUGCAAUGCAAUCCCGGCUCAUGCACAACUCACCUCCCACGGAGAACCUCGACGUCGGAGCUGGAUGAUUAGGGAGGACGCGCUGGCACCGGACUCCUCGUGGCGCAUUGGGUUUUGGCGCGCGGUUCCGUCCGCUGGUGGGUUCGCCGCCGGCCUCUCGACGUCACGUCACGAUGUGGGCGCGCUCCGAGUUGAGGCCACGUGCCAUGGAUGUGCUAUUGCAGUAGCGUCAGUCGUAGUCGGCCAGCGACCGGCAGCCGGGCGAGCCGAAGCGGGAGCUUGCUCGCUCGGGGAAACGGACUAACGAACUGAUCAGGAAAAGGCACCGAGAGCGCGGCAAGGACGGCGACCGUUCCCGGCCGGAGUGGCUCGGGCGCGACGCGAUCAACGUCUCACGCAUGAUGCGCUCGGUGCGACGGGCACGGGGCUCGCAGCGAUCGAACGGUAAAAAGCUUCCAGUGGCUCGCCGCCGCGAUCAGCAUUGCGCAUGGGUGAUGUCACGGUGGACAGGCCGUGAUUUGGGGGGCCGGCCGGCGUGCAGCCCGCAGCCAUGGCGCGGAUGCGACUUGUAUGGCCAACGGGCGAUAGGGUGGGAGCCGGGCGCGCGGGAGGAAAGGAACGUCUCAGUUUGUGAGCCGGCAGCCCGGCACGGCGCUCCGACGACCAUGCAAUGAGAAGGAACGUGGAGCGCUAGGGAUAGAGUCGCUGGUCACGUUCGCACGUGGCGCCAUUCGUUGCGCUGCGCGGCACCUGGAGCUCCAUGGCGGCCGCGGCGUCCGCCUUUCUCUCUUUCUCGUGUCCAACGAAACUCCAACCUUCGUCGACUUCGGGAACGGGGUGCGGAGACGAUCGGAGCGUAGAGGCACGGCCUGGAGGCGGGCUCGGGGGUGACCACCGGAGCCCCCACGGCCGCCAUCGCGACUUCGCGGCCAUGGCGGGUCCGAGAAGUUUUUGCACUACGACCCCUAAAAUGGAUCGCGACUAUUAAUCGCGAUCCAACUACUUUCAUAAAACACGCUAAAAUGGAUCGUUAUUAAUAAUCGCGAUCCAAAUAAUUGCAAAAAAGCCCCUGUUAUUUUGCAAAUGUACCCUUCUUUUUUUGCUGCAGUUCCUCCGUGCGUGUGCCCGCUUCCGCUCCGGUGACGGCGACGGCCGCUCGUCGCGACGAACUGGCCGGAGCGGCAGCUUGCUCGCUCCCGACGCAGUCGUGGCGUGAUGCGCUCGGUGUGGCGGGCACGGGGCUCCCGGCGAUCGAACGGUAAAUCGCCCGACGGCUCGCCGCCGCGAUCAGCAUCGAACGGGGGAUGUCGCGGUGGGCAGGCCGUGGUUUGGGGAGGCCGGCCGGCGUGCAUCCUGCAGCCGUGGCGCGGAUGCGAUUCAGAUGGAAGACGGGGACAGCAGGGUUCGCGCGCCGGGCGUGCGGUAGGAAAGGAACAUCUGGAUCAUUCUGUGCGCCGGCAGCCCGGCACGGCGCUCCGGCGACCAUGCGGUCUGGCAUUCCCUGUGCUGCCCGUGGCGGGUCUGAUCGGUGUGCCUCCUUGGAGAUGAAUGGUCAGCCGCGGAGGAUAUAAGCCAUGGACGACGGACUACGGAAGGCGUAGCCAAUCGCCAUUAACUUCUGCUUCUCCAUCGUUGCUUGCUGCUGAUAUUGGUGACCCAAACAAUGGCCACGGUACAUCCCUUUUUGCCGGAGGCAAAGAUGCGGAGAAAUCCUGGAUAAAAAAAAUCAUGGAGACUGCCAGUAGAGUGCAUCGGCAUGCUACAAGCUUUCGGCCUAUAACGAGGCCUCGAGAGGGAGAAAGGAAAAUGAGAAGGAGCUGCUUUGUAGGGACGGAAUGGAUUCAAAUACCGUCCACCCCUUAACCCCGAUCCGCUCCCAAUUUGCCAGUGCCAAAGUCACGCUAAAAUUCCAAGAAAAUUCACGAACGCUUGCAAUGCAUCGCCACUGCAUCUCACAAAAUUUCAGAUCCUAUUACGCGGUGCAGAGGGAGAACUGAAAAGGAGAAAUCGCAGUACGGGGUGGACGGUAUUUGAAAUACCGUCCACCCUAUGAAUCCCGAUUCGCCCCCAAUUUGCCGGUGCUAAAUAUACGAUAAAAUUCCAAGAAAAUUCAUGAACCCUCGCACGCUGUGCGGAGGGAGAAUUGAAAAGGAGAAAUCGCAGUACGGGGUGGACGAUGAUCAGCAAUUCUUAAGUUCAGUGUGUUCUCUGAAUUUUCGUGCCAUGCUCUUUCGCUCUUCAACUUGUUGAGAUUCAGAGGAACUGAAUGGACACACAAGAUUGAUUAUGCGACUGGCUGCUGAACUAGUAGAGUCAGAACUGGAUAUUUCCAUGUCUGAGUGUCGAUAAGAAUUUCAGAUUUGCAGGUCCAUUCAGAACGUGAAGUACAUCUUUUAGACCCGAUGAUGUUGCACAUUUCUGCAGAGCUGAAAAGCGUAUCAUCAACGGAUUGUUGCUAUUUUGAAUUAUAAUCACACCGAUCAACAGCAAUAUAUAGAUGCAAACGUUUCAAGUAUGUCGGUGACCAAGGAAGUGAGGAUAAUGAGAUGAAAACGCUCCAUCCUGUUCAUCUCUGAAACCCAAACAGAUUGUAACUGAAACUAAAGCUGCCACUACACCGCUCUGUUUGAUUCAAGUACGCUGUAACAUACAACCUGAAAUUGAAUUUCACCCGCCGUUUCAGACUUCCAGUGAUCGAAGUGCACGAUACAUGCCAACGCACAAGCCCUCCACCGCCGCCGCCGGCCCGCAGCUUCACCGUCCAAACCGCCGCCGCCAAGGCGAGGAGCGAUAGGGACAGAUUUGUUGAUCAUUGUUGGAACUGAUCAAAAUGGCCGGCGCCCCUCACGCACUCUCUGAUGUUUACACGCACGCCUAGCAAGGACUUCUUGCUAGCUUCUCUCGAUGGAUGGAAACGCAAGCUAGAAAAAGGAACAAACAGAUACACACUCGAGAAGAUUUUUUGCAGCACUGCACGCCAGCGCCCACAGCACAUGUAUUCUCUUCACCACGUGCUAACAAACGCUGAUUACAAGUCUUUAAAUAAACACACUCACGCACCACGUCCGGCUGCACGAUUCGGCCGAGCACUCCGUGGCUUGACCACUAAUCCACCUCCCUACAUGCAAGCCACAACUACCUGCAUGCUGGGCACCACUAACCAACACGCUAACAACUCUUCCAACAGCGAGCACUGAUCCAGUCCACCGACGAUGCAUGCGCCCAUGCAAUUUGACUGACCUCCUCUUCUUGCUCCUGAACUAGCGCCACGACUUGACCAAGCACCUGGCCGCACAUACCUGGAAUGCUAACUCCAACAACACACACGUACACAGCAUAGCUACCGAUCUGCUUGCACUUGCAUAUCCUAGCCACUACGCCAUGCUGCACACAAUCACGAACACAACUAAUAUGGACUCAACGCUACACUAAAACACAAACGAAUACGUACAACAAGAUUAAGUCUAACAAUCAUGUUCGCACGGCCGCCGUUCGUUGUGCUGUGUGGCACCGGCCACCGGGAGCUCCAUGGCACAUGGGCAUGGCAGCCGCGGCGUCCGCCUUCCUCUCUCUCGUGUCGUCCAACCUUCUUCGCGUUCAGGAACGGGCUAGCUUACGAGAGGGAGGAAAGCUCAGGCCAGCGGGGCGCGGAUGCUAUCUGCGCGCAGAUGCGGGGCCUGAAGGCAGGCUCGGGCCUCGGGGUAGAGCCGCCAUGGCCAGCCAUCGCGAGGUCCUGGCCAGGUCGGCGAGAUGUUUUGCAAAAAUCCCCCUCAAAUGGAUCGCGACUAUUAAUCGCGAUCCAAAUAUUUUUAUAAAACCCCUAAAAUGGAUCGCAAUUAAUAAUCGCGAUCCAAAUAAUUACAAAACACUCCUGUUUUUUUACAAAUAUACCCUCCUUUUGGCUGCAAUUCCUCCGUGCUCUCUUCCCCUUCCGCUCCGGCGACGGCGGCGGCGGCUCAUCGCGAUGGAACUGGCUUCAGACCCACUGCCUUCCCCUCCCCCCCACCCCUCCCGCUUAUCACUGGAUCUCGCCUGAUGCGUCCCUUUCCUCCGUCUCUCCACCAUAGCUCUGCAUCUUCUCGUCCCGCAGUCUUCGCCGUCGUCUGGCAGGGUGGGAGCCUGGGGGCGCCGUCACGGCGCCGAUCGCGAGUUCGUAGCGGCCAAUCAAAACAUUCUGAUCACUGAAUCAGUCGUAAAAUUUGAUCUACUGAAGCCCAAGAAAAUAACUGAAAAAGGCAACCAUGAGGUGCGCCAUGGGGACCUAGCUCUGGAGUUCAGAUCUUCAGACACUUCAUGCCGGACAUGCCCUAAAGUGCUUCUGUAGCAUCGGAACUUCAGAUUAGCAUGCUGGUGCUAAGUACUGCUUCAAUCGGCUCGAAACAAAACUACAGUGCGAACCAAAGAUCAACAUGAAUCUGUCAAAACAAAACGAACAGCGCCAGACAUGUUGGCAAAGCUACGCAAUUUGAGUGCACUUGGAUUGGGACAUUGGGUUAGCAUGUACAACAACCCAGGACACGAGUACAUGACAUCAAAAUCAUGACGUAAAUAGCAUACAACUGCUUGCUCUCGCUUCCCAUAAAUCGAAAGAACGAAAACAGAGAACCUCGAUUUUUUAUUAUGGAAAUGAUGUUCUGUACAAGCCUCUUUCUAAUUCACAACCUGUGGCGUGUGGCCCAUCCAAAUAGGCAAAGCAAAUAUGUGCACCGACCUCUCUACAUCUCCA